rnacentral:rRNA from 1 species
AAGGUACCACUUAAAGUCAAAAUAUUCAUGUGGUAUCUCCGUAGGGGAGUUGUGCUAACAAAAGACAACCUCGCAAGACGCAACUGGUCGGGAAGUAAGAAGUGUUGUUUUUGUACUCACGACGAGACAAUUAAACACCUCUUUUUUCACUGUAAGUUUGCGCGUUCUACGUGGUCAGCCAUCCAAAUAGCGUCAAAUUUGUAUCCACCCACAAGUGUUGCCAAUAUUUUUGGUCAUUGGCUGGACGGUAUUUCAAAUAGGUACAAAACGCUAAUAAGGGUGGGAGCGUAUGCCUUACUAUGGUCGCUUUGGCUAUGUAGAAAUGAUGUUGUUUUUAAUGACAAAACUGUUUUGCCUUUGCAGGUUAUUUUCCGUUGUACGCACUCGCUUCGUACGUGGUGUACGCUACAACGAGCGGAGUACCAACCGCUGUUCAAGGCGGUGUGUACGCUGUUGGAGCAGGUGGCUACGGAGGUUUUUACCCAACAUGGAUGGCAGCAUAAUCUCCGGCUCGGUCCACCAUCUCUUUCGACAUAG